rnacentral:lncRNA from 1 species
UACAAUGUAUCCCAAUCUUGUUAAAAAUUAAUAAAACAAACAUCAUAUUUGUAUGUACUCCAUGAUGUAUAAAUCUGGCUGUUAUUGUACUUUGAACACUAUUGAAAAAGAAAUAAUAUGAGUAUUUUUCAGACGAAAAAGAAAAGAUGGUACCACUCCAUAUUUCAUGAUUGAGUAUGUACAAGAUUUAUAGUAACCACCACCGAUUCAU